rnacentral:rRNA from 12 species
ACCUACGCCCGUAUCCGUCCGAUCUCGAAGCUAAGCAGGACCGGGCUGGUUAUAACUUGGAUGGGAGACCGCCUGGGAUAUACCAGGUGCUGUAGGCU